AACGAACGCUGGCGGCAGGCUUAACACAUGCAAGUCGAGCGCCCCGCAAGGGGAGCGGCAGACGGGUGAGUAACGCGUGGGAAUCUACCCAUCCCUACGGAAUAGCUCCGGGAAACUGGAAUUAAUACCGUAUACGCCCUACGGGGGAAAGAUUUAUCGGGGAUGGAUGAGCCCGCGUUGGAUUAGCUAGUUGGUGGGGUAAAGGCCUACCAAGGCGACGAUCCAUAGCUGGUCUGAGAGGAUGAUCAGCCACAUUGGGAUUGAGACACGGCCCAAACUCCUACGGGAGGCAGCGGGGGGGAAUAUGGGAAAAGGGGGGCAACCCUGAUCCAGCCGUGCCGGGUGAGUGAUGAGGGCCUUAGGGUUGAAAAGCUCUUUCACCGGGGAAGAUAAUGCCGGUACCCGGAGAAGAAGCCCCGGCUAACUUCGUGCCAGCCGCCGCAGUAA
rnacentral:rRNA from 1 species